rnacentral:rRNA from 1 species
UUUGGUGAAAUCUUUCUUAGGUUGUAUCGUGAGAAAGCAAAAUAGGGAGUGGGUUUCCAGUAUUAGGAAUAAUGGUGUUUUGUUAGAGUAGAAUAGGUUGGUUCUUUUACUUUUUGUAUCAUGGGGCAUAGAGUUUGUGAACAGUUGGAGUGUCCUGAAAAGUCUUGAGCUAUCUUGUGUUUAGGGUCUGUGAUGUUGCAGUAUCAUGGGUAAUCACGAGAUUGAGGUGAAAUGUCUGUCGGAAGGCUUGGUAGCUGGUUAAGCGGGAAAUGCGCAUUAGUGCAGCGGAAAUUGGUGGUUUUCAAGUUAAGUUGGGAGGCGUAGAAUUUCUAGUGAGGCCGAAGGGGUUAAUCUCUUUGGGGUUUUGUUUUUUCAUUAUAAAGUGGGGUUAGUGGUGCCUGUCUUAUGUUGAAGGUUUGUUCAAAGCUGUUUAUAUUUAUUUUUCGAUUUAUACCGUUUGUUAUCUUAUAGUUUUUAUUGGUAACAUUAGUAUGCUAUGCGUAAGUGAUUGGAGUUAGAUUUACUAUGGUUCGUUGGGGGCCAAGAGCGUUGAAUUGCAAAUGUCUGGUUGGUUGUUCUGCUUGUUAUGUAGAGUUAAAAGUUUGAAAGCUAAGUGAGUUUAAGGAACUCGGCAAAUUUUUCCUUCGCCUGUUUAUUAAAAACAUGGCUCUUAGAGUUUUUAGGUAUUGGGGGUCUUGCCUGCCCGGUGAAAAUUUUUAUUUAAACGGUUGCUGUUGAUAGCAGUACGAAGGUAGCACAAUAAAUAGUCCUUUAAUUGGGGGACAGUAUGAAUGGCGUGACGUGGGAAAGCUGUCUCAAGCUUAAAGGUUGAAAUUUACUUUUGCGUGAAAAGGCGUAAAUGAAAACAUUAGACGAGAAGACCCUAUCGAGCUUGAUGAGGGUUGUUUCAGGUGAAGCUAUGCUUAAAGUUUAGUUGGGGUCACUGGAUGCAUGAUUAACGUAUCUGAAGUGGGGUGUCUGUGGAUCCCUUUUUAAGGAUUUGUAGAAGAAGCUACCGUAGGGAUAACAGCGUAAUGUUUCUGGAGAGAUCUUAUUGAAGGAAGGUGUUGCGACCUCGAUGUUGAAUUAGGGUGUUAUCUUGGCGCAGCCGUUGAGAUUGUGGGACUGUUCGUCCUUUAAAAUCCUACAUGAUUUGAGUUUAGACCGGCGCGAGCUAGGUCGGAUUCUAUCUUUGUUUAAAGUCUCCUUUGUACGAAAGGAUCGGGGGGCUGGUCUUUUGGCUGGAUGAAAAUA